CAUUUCAUGGCAAACUUUUACCGUGCAUGCAAGAGUAAGGAGUUUUGCAAAGAUCUUACCCAUGUUUGUGUGGCAUUCAACACCGACACAUUCCAAAGCUGCUAUGAUAAGCUAUUCAAGGCGUUGGAGAAGAACAAAGGAGGGAGAGAAUUCUUGACAAGGAAUUUUCCGGAGAAGCAUAAGUGGUCACGUGCUUACGACGAAGGAGGUUUCCGACACGGAGACAUGACAAGUAACAUGGUGGAAUGCUUCAACAAUGUGCUCAAGGGUGUCAGUUCUUUGCCGGUCACUGCAAUAGUGAAAUAUACCUUCUUCAAGCUCAACGAGUAUUUUCUGAGGCAUUCCGAAGAGACGGCCAAAUGGAUAGGUGAGAAAAUGGAAUUUCCCUUCAAAGUUGAGGAUGGGUUGAAGCAUCAAGCGCGCAAGUCUUGGCGUCAACAAAUCAUUAGUUUCAAUGAAAAAGAACAAAUCUACCAAGUCGAUGAGCCGGGUGGCACAACAAGGGACGGCAUGACAUACGGUGGA
rnacentral:rRNA from 1 species